AUUGAACGCUAGCGGGAUGCCUUACACAUGCAAGUCGAACGGAGUGGCGAACGGGUGAGUAAUGUAUCGGAACGUGCCCAGUAGCGGGGGAUAACUACGCGAACGCGUAGCUAAUACCGCAUACUCUUGGAGCGGCCGAUACCGGCUUAGCUUGUUGGUGGGGGAACGGCUCACCAAGGCGACGAUCCCGAGCUGGUUUGAGAGGACGACCAGCCACACUGGGACUGAGACACGGCCCAGACUCCUACGGGAGGCAGCAGUGGGGAAUUUUGGACAAUGGGGGAAAGCCUGAUGCAGCCAUCCCGCGUGUGUGAUGAAGGCCUUCGGGUUGUAAAGCACUUUUAGCAGGGAAGCGGUACCUGCAGAAUAAGCACCGGCUAACUACGUGCCAGCCGCCGCGGUAAUUC
rnacentral:rRNA from 1 species